GACGAACGCUGGCGGCGUGCUUAACACAUGCAAGUCGAACGAAGUGGCGAACGGGUGAGUAACGCGUAAUCAACCUGCCCUUCAGUGGGGGACAACAGUUGGAAACGACUGCUAAUACCGCAUACUGAAGGAGGGGAUUGCGUCGGAUAGCUAGUUGGGGGGGUAACGGCCCACCAAGGCGAAGAUCAGUAGCCGGUCUGAGAGGAUUAACGGGCAAAUUGGGAAUGGGACACGGCCCAGACUCCUUCGGGAGGCAGCAAGGGGGAAUCUUCCGCAAUGGGGGGAAGUCUGGCGGAGCAACGCCGCGUGAGUGAUGAAGGCCUUCGGGUUGGAAAGCUCUGUUAAUCGGGACGCGGUACCGGAAUAGAAAGCCACGGCUAACUACGUGCCAGCAGCCGCGGUAAUUC
rnacentral:rRNA from 1 species